CAUAGAUAAAGAAGACUGGUUUCGCAUGUCCUAUCCUUUUAGCCCUAUCCCUACUGACCCCGAGUUUCUGUUUUGCUUGUCCUGCCCCUAGCGGAUAAACUGCUGUACUGCACCGUGGCUACCAAGGGUGUUGCAGACGAAAGUUGUUUUCCUUCUGUCUUGGUAAAAUUCUUUGCUGGCGUUUAAAAGUUCUAGAGAAAUCAAUUGAAUGAUUGCAAUGGAAUAGAUGUAAGCAGAGUGUAGAGAACAAAACGUACACUAGAGGGCAGGACAAGCAAAACAGAAUCGGGAAAAUCGGAGGAAGGGUAGCAAGAAUUCUGGCGACAGUUGGCCAUGUUAAUUUUCUUAUGGACAGCAUCAACCAGUGGUCUUUGUCUAUG
rnacentral:lncRNA from 1 species